rnacentral:rRNA from 1 species
GGAAUAUUGGACAAUGGACGGAAGUCUGAUCCAGCCAUCCCGCGUGCAGGAUGAAGGCGCUACGCGUUGUAAACUGCUUUUGUACAGGAAGAAACGUGCCGACUUGUCGGCACCUGACGGUACUGUAAGAAUAAGCACCGGCUAACUCCGUGCCAGCAGCCGCGGUAAUACGGAGGGUGCAAGCGUUAUCCGGAAUCACUGGGUUUAAAGGGUGCGUAGGCGGCUCAGUAAGUCAGAAGUGAAAGCCUGCGGCUUAACCGUAGAAUUGCUUUUGAUACUGCCGAGCUUGAAUUAGGUUGAGGUUGGCGGAAUGUGACAUGUAGCGGUGAAAUGCAUAGAUAUGUCAUAGAACACCAAUUGCGAAGGCAGCUGACUAGACCUUAAUUGACGCUGAGGCACGAAAGCGUGGGGAGCGAAC